rnacentral:rRNA from 1 species
UGGGGAAUAUUGCACAAUGGGGGAAACCCUGAUGCAGCGACGCCGCGUGAACGAAGAAGGUAUUCGUAUCGUAAAGUUCUGUCCUAUGGGAAGAUAAUGACAGUACCAUAGAAGAAAGCUCCGGCUAAAUACGUGCCAGCAGCCGCGGUAAUACGUAUGGAGCGAGCGUUGUCCGGAAUUAUUGGGCGUAAAGGGUACGCAGGCGGUUUAAUAAGUCGAAUGUUAAAGAUCGGGGCUCAACCCCGUAAAGCAUUGGAAACUGAUAAACUUGAGUAGUGGAGAGGAAAGUGGAAUUCCUAGUGUAGUGGUGAAAUACGUAGAUAUUAGGAGGAAUACCAGUAGCGAAGGCGACUUUCUGGACACAAACUGACGCUGAGGUACGAAAGCGUGGGGAGCAAAUAGG